GGCAGCAGCCCUGAGGCCUUUCGUUUUGACAGGAGCCUGAAGCUCUACCACCUGUCUCACAAGGUGACUGGAAAUUAAAAAGAUUCCUGAGUUGCUGAUUCCAGCUUCAUUCCAUUGUAGUUCGAGAAGAUGCAUGGUGUUGUACAUCUGCAAAUUUUGAUGUUAUACUAUACUAAGACUGCAAUGAAGGAGAUCAGAGUGAAAGGACAGGAAGUCUGCUGAUCAUGGGUUGCCAGAUAAAAAUACAGGACACACAAUUAACUUUGACUAACAGCUUCCAGCUCCUGAAUCCAGCUUCCUAGAAGAUAGAAGGUGAUGGCUCAAACAGCUGAGUCCCUGCCAUACAUAUGGGAGACGUGGAUUGAGUUUCCAGCUCCAACCCAACCCCAAGAGUUAAUGCAAUCACUUCACUUUGGAUGUCCCUAAAAUAUCUGCUACAAUGAAAUGAAAGUUCAUAAAAAUGAAAACCAACAGAAAACACCAAAAAGAAGAACAUCUGGAAAUGAAGAGAAAACAUAAUCACAGAGGGAAUAAUGCAAACAUGAAAAACUACUGGGUAUGAAUAACUGGUAAACUGUAAUCAGUGUGGAAAAGACUAACAUAGGAAAUAAUGUGAGCAUCACAAGACAAGAUGUUGAGUAUAACACUUAAACAUAUGGAGCACGCUCUCUUCAUAGAAAGGCUUUUCUUGACCCCCACACAGGCUGAGACAGCUUCCCUGUUGGGAAAUCUGAUUUUAGAGUAUACAACUGAAGCCAGGAAAUUACAGGGAAUGCACACUCCAGAGCCAGCAAUGAUCUUCCCAUCCAUGAAAGCCAAGAGUCCAUUUCCACCAGUAAUUAUUUAUGAAUGACCAUGUAUUGUUCUCUCAGGACUUUGCUUGUUGGACUCUGUACCUGAGAUUAAGGUUGUUAAUUGUGCUUACAAAGAAAUACUUGAGUAAAUAUAUAAAAUAUGCUAAAACUUUAACAAUAAUUUCUAUGUACACUAACACAUACUUGUUUUGGCAGGUGUAGCUAAAGAUCAUCUAAGUCUUCAUGGCAUGGAUUUCCUGUUACUUUGUUGGUAAAAGGAAAUGUCUCUCCAACUUUGGGUGAAUAAAUCACAAUGUGAUCCCUGUGUUUAACACAGAGCUUGGAUCCAUGAAUGUUUGACUGAAUGAAAUGUUAAGAAAAGCAGAGGUUGAUUUGAAUUAUGAUUUUUGAGGGUAAAAUUAGAAACAUGCAUGCUUGAGUCAGGAAGAUAGUUAACUAUUAUUACUUAGCCAAGUCCUAUCUAAGGCAGUACAUUAAAAGGUGGUCCAAAACUUAAUUUCCAUUAUGUUCCCUGAAUACACAAGUAUCCACAAAGAGAAUAAACCCAGGGACGUGUGACCGUACUCAUACAAUUUUAUGAGAAAAAAACCUGUGAUGAAUAAGAAAGACCUACGAGUAUGCAAAUGAGACCAUACUUUACAACUCAAUUUUUAGCAUGUGUUCAUGGGUUCUACACUUAUUUUUCAUAAGAAAAAUGUCAACUUAGUCUUCUACCUUUUUAUAUAUUCAUUCCAUAUUUCUUUGGGGCACAAAAGCAUGAGCUAUAGCAGCAAUUCUCAAACUCUUUAGGUUUCAAGAAUUCCUUACAUUGUCAAAAAUUAUUGUUGGGCACCAAUGAGAUUUUUCCUAUGUGUAUAAAUCUAUUGAUAAUUAUUGUUAACUUCUUUAAACAUUUCAUUAUUAAGCUAUCUUAAAUUAAUAAUGAGUCCACUACAUGUUAAAUUAAUUGGCCACAUUUUUCUGAGCAAGACAACAAAACCACAUUAAUACUGAGGGACUUUUUUUGUUCUUUUAGUAUCAUUACUGUCUGACUCAAUAGAAAACAAUUGGAAUCCUAUAUCUGUGUUCACAUUUCAUCUGUUUUCUUGUUCCUUAGUUGCAGCAUGUAAGCAAAAUUUUGUCUUACACAAACAUUGAAAAAGUCACAAGUAUUUUAUAAAUUUUAUAAAUUUUUAUAAAAUUGUUGUUAUCUUUCUUUGGUACUAUACCAAAACUAAACAAGUGAUUAUUUAAAGAUUACUUGUAAUAUAUAACAUAAAUCAUAUCAAUGUACUUCUUGUAUCAUAACUCUUUGGCCCCUUUUGUGCUUUGAGUGCUUUAUUUAGUCCCAUAAAUUAUUUUAUAGCAUCCUAUGUUGGUAAUUUGGAAAAUAUUGGUUCACUAUGUAUUAACUUGUUUUCUUUUAAAAUAUCAUUGCAUGCUAUGUAGCCUUCGGAAAAUUCCACCAUAGACUCAUGAGACAUGGAGUGAAAAAGGAAAAUAGUAUCUUUGUAUUGUAGUAAGUUUAGUUUUAACUUUGCAGACCUCCAGCAGUACCUGGACCACACUUUGAGAAAGGCUGAUCAGUAGGAUCUUUUUGAUCUUUUAAUGAAAUUGCUGUAAGCAUCAACCCACACUUUACUCUGAAGGAGGGAAAAGCAUGUCACUUCUCCAAGAAGCAAGUUAGACUCCCCCACAGGCAGAGGAAACACUUCCUUCACAAUGUUUGUUGUCCCGAUAUAAAUGUUUUGAAUCUUUCCAUAUGAAAAGUUCACAAUAAAUAUUUUUC